AGGGUUCGAUUCUGGCUCAGGAUGAACGCUGGCGGCGUGCUUAACACAUGCAAGUCGAACGGAGAUAUUGAGAGCUUGCUUUAGAUAUCUUAGUGGCGGACGGGUGAGUAACGCGUGGGUAACCUACCCUGUACAGGGGGAUAGCAGUUGGAAACGACUGAUAAAACCGCAUAAAACGGCAGUACCGCAUGGUACAACCGUCAAAUAUUCAUAGGUACAGGAUGGGCCCGCGUCUGAUUAGCUAGUUGGUGGGGCAACGGCCUACCAAGGCGACGAUCAGUAGCCGGCCUGAGAGGGUGAACGGCCACAUUGGGACUGAGACACGGCCCAAACUCCUACGGGAGGCAGCAGUGGGGAAUAUUGGACAAUGGGGGAAACCCUGAUCCAGCGAACCGCCGCGUGAGUGAAGAAGUAUUUCGGUAUGUAAAGCUCUAUCAGCAGGGAAGAUGAUGACGGUACCUGACUAAGAGGCACCGGCUAAAUACGUGCCAGCCGCCGC
rnacentral:rRNA from 1 species